UUAUCAAAGGGGAAAGGGGGUGGAGGAGAGGUAAAUUAGGAGGGUGGGAUAAACACACACACACACACCACUAUGUAUAGAUAAUCCGUAAGGGCCGACUGUAUAGCUCAGGGAACUGCGCUCACUAUUUUAUAAUAACCUACGAGGGAAAAGAAUCUGAAAAAGGAUAGACAGACAGACAGACAGAUGUAUACCUGAAUCACUGUGCUUUACACCUGGAACUAAGCCGAUACUAUAAAUCAGCGGUACUCGAAUGUUUUAACACAUAGGGGAAGAAAGAGCAGAGGGUCCCAGCAAUAAGGGAAGAGCCCCUCUGAGCAGCUGAAGUUGCUCUUCCUGGAGAGGAAGCCAAGCCAAAGGCAGAAACUAAAGCAGGAGGGCGAGACCCAUCGGAGGCGACAGCUGGGACCACCAAGCUGUGGCGUGGGGCCCAGGACGUGAUCUGAAGAGAGGCGGGGGACCAGGCUCGGCUGGGAGCUGUGGCUCUCACGUCCUUUUGAAGCCUGACUCGGGACACUUGGCAGACCCAGAGGUGAAUUCUCAGAUCAGAGAAGAGUGGGGGCAGGUGUGAGGGACGCAGCUGGACCAGGCCACCCUGGUGGAGGUGCCAGGGAGGCAGGAACAGGCCCCUGUUCCCUCCUACCCCGUGACCUCAGGCCCCUCUCGGGCAGUCUGUAAUAGGCGGUGGAGGUGACAGGGUGGCAGAGAUAGGCCUCUGUGACCUCAGGCCCCUCUCGGGCGGUCUGUAACAGGCGAGUGUCCACAGCACCUGCCGAAGAUCUCGGGGCCCUGGGUGGACCUCAGAGAGGCCUCCCAUUCGACUCCAGCUCUGGCUGCUCUCCUGGCCAGGACACCGCCUGUUCCCAGAACACCGCCUGCCCCAGAGGCCGUUCACCCUGGCCGGUCAGGCUGGGCCAGAGGGCAGGGGCCCAGCCCAGAAGCCAGGGGUGAAGAAAGAAAGCUGCCAGCUGGACGGCCCCACCGGGCCCCUCGGGCUGCAGGAGGCGGAUGCUGUGGGUGCUCAGAGAUGCGGGUCUGAAGCCUGGGUGGCUCUUCUUUGCUGAACUGCCUGCCUGGAUGCCAGCGCCCACCGCGUCCCCCCAGCCUCCAAGUCAGUCUCAGCCGCCAACAGUGACCAGACCUCCACAUGCGGGAAGCCAGGCCACUGCCCAGCGCCACGCCACUCCCGCCAGAUGCAACAGGAUGCCUUUCGCAGCAAAGUCAGAGUGGGCGCCUGGACCCCACGCAGACCCCCGGACCUGCUGAGGAAUGAGGGCUUGGGCAGCGCUGCUCUGGAGGAGCCGCCCACAGAGCGCAUCCCACCACUGUUCAUAAAGGCCUUUUACGGCCCCGAAGGCCCGCGUGCGGGCCUGGCCCUUGGGGUGCUUCCCUUUGGGGGAGCCGCUGCAGAAGCCGCCCCGGGGGGGACCCUCCAGGCAGCACUGGAUGAGUGAUGUCCUGCUUGCCCAGAGGAUCGGCCCAGAUGCCUGGAGAUCUCCUGGGACCACCUUGCAAUAACUCACGGGCUGCUAACGAAGCAGGCUUGACCCGUCUGUCUCUGUGUGCGAGCAUCCGUCAGCAAAAAACCUGGAUCUGAGUGGCAUCAAGCUGACCACCUAGAGUCCUGAUCUCAUCCCAGUUCUGCAGGAGAACGUUGCAGGGAUUCUCUAGAAACUGCACUUGGAGCCGUGUGGCAUCAAGGACCCCCACCAGGAGGCCAUCCUGCCUGCCCUGAGCCGCUGCUCCCAGCUCAGGUCCACCAGCCUAGGUGGGAACCUCCUCUCCACGGUCGUGAUGGAGAAGCUGCUGAGUCACACGGCUGGGCUGCCCCGCUGAAAGGAUGAGUUUUAUCCCGGCCCCCGGGAGAGUCAGAGCUCUAGAGGACCUCGGCCUGGGGAUACUUGCCCAGCUGCGGGAGGAGCUGAUGGAGUUGAUGAGGGGCUUUGGAGGUCCAGGGCCAUCUGGCUUUGCUCCAGCCCGCGUCCUCGCUGGGGCAAUAAGACGUUCUAUCACGAGGAGUCGUUCUAUAUGAUUGCCGUCCACCUGUGUCGUUGGGUGUAUCGGUCCAAAGCACUUCUGGGCACUUGGGUUCUGAAAUCCAGGUCGGGCACCAUGUCAAGGGAACACAGACCCAUGAUAAAUGGCGGGGACCCUGGCAUGAGCGUUUCUCAUGGUUCCCCUGGUGCUCCCAUUAGUCUCAGCUUCCGGGCAUCGUGUGUCCCGGGAGAGGGUCUCGGUGCACAAGGCAAGGUCCCCAGUUCUGGAAAGUGUCGUCCACUUGGCCAAAGAGUGUUACCCUCUCAUCUUCACCAACCUGUGCCUGUCAUGAGUGGGUGGUUGUCCUAUGUGAGUCAAUCUACUUGUGGCCAGGAGAGAGACCCCCCCCAAAAAAAAUACUAAAAUAGUGUAGUCAGGGAGUUCCUGCUGUGGCUCAGCGGUUAAUGAACCUGACUAGUAUCCAUGAGGACUCAGAUUUGACGCCUGGCCUCGCUCAGUGCAUUCAGGAUCCAGUGUUGCCAUGAGCUGUAGGUCACAGAUGCAGCUCGGAUCUGGCGUGGCUGUGGCUGUGGUGCAGGCCGGCAGCUGCAGCUCCAAUUCGACCCCUAGCCUGGGAACCUCCAUAUACCACGGGUGUGGCCCUAAAGCCCCAAAAGACAGAAGAAAAUAAAAAUAGAAUAGUCAUUUAACAUAGUUUUUUUAGUAUUUCUAAGCCACAUUAAAAAUCUUAUCAGGAGUUCCCGUCGUGGUGCAGUGGUUAACGAAUCCGACUAGGAACCAUGAGGUUGCAGGUUCGGUUCCUGCCCUUGCUCAGUGGGUUAACGAUCUGGCGUUGCCGUGAGCUGUGGUGUAGGUUGCAGACGCGGCUUGGAUCCCACGUUGCUGUGGCUCUGGCGUAGGCCGGUGGCUGCAGUUCCGAUUAGACCCCUAGCCUGGGAACCUCCAUGUGCCGCGGGAGCGGCCCAAAGAAAUAGCAAAAAGACAAAAAAAAAAAAAAUCUUAUCUUUUGUGGGGUGGAGAAAAUCCUUGAGAUUAUUUCUCUAAAAACUGCUGUCUCUCCUUAUCAAGGAAGACCAGUAUAGAUUUUUUUCUUUUUUUAUUAAAUUUAUUUUUUAUGAUAUAGUUCAUUGACAGUGCUGAGUCAAUUUCUCCUAUACAGCAUAGUGUGAGAAAAAGAAUGUAUAUAUAUAUAUAUAUAUGAUGUUUUUUCUUUUUAUGGCCACACCUGGGUCCUAUGGAAGUUCCCGGCUAGGGAUCCAACCUGAGCUGCAGCUACCAGCCUACGCCACAGCCACAGCCACACCAGAUCCGAGCCGCACCUGCAACCUAUGCCACAGCUUGCUUGCAGCCAUGCUGGAUCCUUAACCACCCACUGAGAGUGAGACCAGGGGUGGAACCCACAUCCCAACAGACACUAUGUUGGGUUCUUAACCCGCUGAGCCACAACGGGAACUCCUUGCAUAGCAUUUUUCCUUCUAACCCAUCGGGAUGGAUAACAAAACACUUGCUUUAUGCUACUGAUAACUCGGAGUCAACUCAACUUUUCCUCAGUUCCAUACUCUUCAUUCAACCAACAGCACAUGGUAUCGAAAAAUAUUCACUAUUCACCAUUGAAAAAUACUCGUAAGUGCACACGAUCAGCUGAAGACUCAUCUAUAGACAAAUCAAUACAUAGAUUGACCUUAGAAAGGAGUGAUAACGAGAAGAAGCUUGCACAGUUACAGAUGCCAAGGAGUCCCACAGUCCACGCUCUGUAGGGUCGAGAACCAGCAAAGCCAUUGUAGAACUCAGUUCAAGGUUUAAACCUGAAAACCAGGAGAACUGAGGAAACCCCAAGUCCAAGGCCAAAGGCCUGAGAACCAGGACACCACUGGUGUCAGUCCGGAGUCACAGCUGUCGAGAGCCAGAAGCUCCAAUGUUCCUGGGUGAGAAGAGGUAAAGGGAGGAAAGAUGCAGUCUUGGCCAAUUCAGGCCCCAAAGAGACCGGACGAUGCCCAUCUGCCGUGGUGAGGGCGGGCUCUUCAUUCAGUCCCCAGUCAACCCGUAAUCGCCUCUAGAAACACCAUCCCAGAAACACUCAGAAUUGGAGUUCCCACUGUGGCUCCGCGGUAAUGAACCUGGCUAAUAUCCAUGAGGAUGUGGGUUCAAUCCCUAGCCCCACUCAGUGGGUUAAGGAUGCUGCGUUGCCGUGGCUGUGGUGUGGGUCACAGAUGCGGCUUGGAUCCCGAGUUGCUGUGGCUGUGGUGUAGCCUGGGAACUUCGACCCCUAGCCUGGGAACUUCCAUAUGCUGCAGGUAUGGCCCUAAAAAGCAAAAAAAAAAAAAAAAAAAAAAAAAAAAAAAAAAAAAAAAAAAAAAGAGAGAGGAGAGAGAUGCAGAGACACAGAGAGAGACCUGAGACACACAGAGGCACAGACUAGAGGGACACGGCCACAAGCCAAGCCACGCCUGCUGCCCCAGAAGCUGGAGGAGACGAGGAAGGACACUGGCCUUGAGGCUUUGGAGGGAGCACGACCCCGCUGACACCUUGACUCCAGACUCCUGGCCUCCAAAACCAUGGAGGAUCAAUUUCCGCGGAUAAAAGCUGCCCAUCCUGCAGUAGUUUGUUCAGGCAACCCCACAAAACCGAUACAUCUGGGACACGCAAAGAGAGGCCACCUACGACCUGGCCCCCUGACCGGCCCUUCUAAGUCCGCGCUUUUGUUCCCAUUUCACGGGCUCCCGAGGCUCUGAAAUGUUAGCAACUUGCUCUCCAGGCGGCCUGCAAAGAAGUUGCUUCACCCUUUUGAAGUCUGCCCCGCCGGGGACCCCAACUGCUAGGCUGGGCUCCCAACCCCACCAGUCCCAUCAGGGGAGACACAGAAGGACCCACUUUUUCUGAGAAGGAUGUUUUACGUGUUUCACAGGCAUGCUCUUAUAAUGUUGAUUAUUUUCAGGCAGUUUUCAGAACGUAAAAUUGCAGCUGUAUUGUUGGGAGUAAAUUUUAUUUCCUUGGCUUGAAAACACAAACCGAAAUAAUAAGCCCGUGAGUAGCUGAAUAGUGUCAUAAUUCUGUAGAAUAUAAAUUUAUGGCAAUAGAAAAACGGUAAAACACUAAGAACUCACUGCAGCAAAAUUGGGGGGAAUAAAUGUUACUGCUGGGCCCCAAACACGAACGAAUAUUCUACUCAGGCUACAGAGGCACCUCAUACAAAUGAGAGUAAAAUGCCUGCCGAGCACCAGCCCCCAGGUAAUAUCCCAAACGGCAGAGCUAUGACUGGAAAUCCAUCUUAGGCCUCGGACAAGACACAAAUAAAACAAAUGAUUCCCUGUGUAGUUAAAUUUUCAAUCAUCCUGCUGACAAGAAUUUUUUUACUGCUGCAAUUGGGAAGCUAUCAAAGGCAAAAAGAAGAAGUCAUUUCAGCUCCGGGAAAGGCAGGAUGAAAAAAAAGGCAGCUGCACUGCAAGAAGUCUACAGGGUGGAGGGACUAGGGCUGCCAGAGAAAAUGCUCAGUUAAAUGUGCAUUUCAGGCAAACAAUGACUACCCCUUUGUAUAAGUAUAUCCCAUCUGUUGCAAGGGAUAUACUUACCCUACAAAAUGUAUGUUAUUUCUCUGAAACUCGCA